rnacentral:misc_RNA from 1 species
UGACUAAUAAAGUUGCACAAAAAGAAGAAUUUGCCAAUUUACAUUUGUACUAUUGAUGGAUUCUUAAAACAUGAUUGAAAUUGGAAUAAUGCCAAUUUAACAGUGGGAGAAAUGGAGAAUGAAGAAAUAGUGACAUGACUACGGCACCGCUCUAUUUUUCUCUGUAUCUGCUCACGAUGAACAACUGAACCCUAUUUAUUUGCAGCGUCAAGAACGUGUCUCUACUCUAAUGGAGCAGCAGUAUAAUUUACUAGCCACCGUACGUUUUCGCAUAGGAAGCAUGCAUGCACGGUUCUUCCUCGAAGAGGCAGCUCGCACUUUAGGCUCAGCAGCACACCGUACCAUCCAUGGAGGGCUGGAGGCGCCAGUUGCCUGCGUGGGAAGAGGGGCUCGCAUUGGCUGCGCAAGCACGCUCGCGUCGCGUCAGCUCGCCCUCGCCGUGGCCGCGGCGACGGUCUUCUCGAUGACGAAGAGCCUCCGGAAGAUCCUGAUGAGCAGCACCCACGUGCCGGCGCGGCGGCGGCAGUGCCGGGCCGCGCCGGCCCUGGACGAGGGGCGCAGCGCAGGGGCGCACCCGCGGGCCGCCGCGGGCUCCGACUCCGCGUCCGACGAGUAGUCCGAGGACUCCGGCCACAGGCCGCGCGCCAGCUCCUCGUUGAAGUCCUCCCACAGCAGGUCCAUCCUGUCCUCCACCGCGGCGUCUGCUCCCGCCCCCGCCGGCCCUUGUCGCGCUGCGGCCAUGGCGGUGCGUUUGAGUGCGGCGGCGGCGGCGGGAGGAGAGGGAGGGGACCUGCAGGGUGGUGUGGGUGCCGUCGAGCUGGCGGCCGCGAACGGGGGGAACGGGAGCUGGCGCCACGCCGCCGCCGAAAGUGGGCCUGCGACGACGACAGCAGCGGCAGGCGGCUCGAACGUCGUCGUCGCUGCGGCUGCUGUCGAAGUGGCAGCCGGGGAGGUGAAGUCCAUAUCCAUUCCUGACACUCUCGAAUCCGUCGAUCGAUGGUGGCGAGGCAUAGAUAUAGAUGAUGACGUCGCUGCUGCUGUUAACCCUUGGGCGAAGUCUAGCAGUGAUUGUUGCCGCGCCUGUGUCCACGGACCACGGCCCCCGCCCCCGCCCAGUAGGUGGCGCGGCACCCCGUGGUCCAGUGCCGGCCGUGCGAAAACCAACACGCGCGCGGCAUAUGGAACCCGGAGCGGAUCCACGCUCGU